AACGAACGCUGGCGGCAUGCCUAACACAUGCAAGUCGAACGAGACCUUCGGGUCUAGUGGCGCACGGGUGCGUAACGCGUGGGAACCUGCCCUUAGGUUCGGAAUAACUCCCCGAAAGGGGUGCUAAUACCGGAUAAUGUCUUCGGACCAAAGAUUUAUCGCCUUUGGAUGGGCCCGCGUUGGAUUAGCUAGUUGGUAGGGUAAAAGCCUACCAAGGCGACGAUCCAUAGCUGGUCUGAGAGGAUGAUCAGCCACACUGGGACUGAGACACGGCCCAGACUCCUACGGGAGGCAGCAGUGGGGAAUAUUGGACAAUGGGCGAAAGCCUGAUCCAGCCAUGCCGCGUGAGUGAUGAAGGCCUUAGGGUUGUAAAGCUCUUUUACCCGGGAUGAUAAUGACAGUACCGGGAGAAUAAGCCCCGGCUAACUCCGUG
rnacentral:rRNA from 1 species